rnacentral:rRNA from 1 species
UUGAACGCUGGCGGCAUGCCUUACACAUGCAAGUCGAACGGUAGAGGGGCAACCCUUAAGAGUGGCGAACGGGUGAGUAAUAUAUCGGAACGUGCCCAGUCGGUGGGGGAUAACGCAGCGAAAGCUGCGCUAAUACCGCAUACGAUCUAUGGAUGAAAGGCGGGGGAUCGCAAGACCUCGCGCGAUUGGAGCGGCCGAUAUCAGAUUAGGUAGUUGGUGGGGUAAAAGGCCCACCAAGCCGACGAUCUGUAGCUG